rnacentral:rRNA from 1 species
AUGCUUAGGAAAAAACCUGAGGAUGUUGUUCAUGAAAGACGCUUUGGUUGCUCUCAAAGCACCAUGGAGUCCAGCACAAAAACACCGAAAGAGAGGCACUAUGUGAGUAUGCAGUGGGCAUUGUUUUUCUAUGAGUGUGGCAUACCUUUCAAUGUUGCAAGCUCUAGGCAAUUCCAGAUUGCAAUAGAAGCCUCUUGUCAAUAUGGCCCGGAUGGCUGGUCCGAUAGAAGGGGGCGCCACUUGAUCAACUUCCUUGUAAACAGACCGGCGGGCACUUACUUCUUGGAGUCGGUUGAUGCAUCAGGUGAAUGCCAAGAUGAUCAGAUGAUAACAGAUUUUCUAGAGAAGAGAAUUGAGGAUGUUGGUAAAGAGAAUGUUGUUCAAGUUGUCAUCGACAAUGGUGCAAACUACAAGGCAGCGGGCAAGAUUCUAAUGCAAAGGAUUCCUACACUAUAUUGGAGUCCAUGUGCAUGUCAUUGCUUGGACCUAAUGUUGGAAGAUAUAGGGAAGCUAAAGGCAUUUAAGAAGCUUAUUGCACGGGGUAGACGAGUCACCACUUUCAUCUAUAGGCAUGGCAGAAUUCUAAGUCUAAUGAGGAAGGCAAUGGGUGGGCUGGAUCUUAUGAGACCCACAGCCACUCGCUUUGCCACAUCCAUUCUUUCUCUUAAGAGUUUGGUCAAGCACAAGCAAGCAUUGAGGAGUCUAUUUACAUGCCAAGCAUGGGUUGGAAACAAAUUGGCCAAAACUGCAGCCGGUUUGAAUGUGCAAGACAUUGUGCUUUCAGCGGAUUAG